rnacentral:rRNA from 1 species
AGCCUUCUGUUCAUAGGAAGAACGGCUUCUGAAACUGCAGAUCUUGAGUGUAGGAGGGGAGAGUGGAACUUCUGGUGGAGCGGUGAAAUGCGUAGAUAUCAGAAGGAACGUCGGCGGCGAAAGCGACUCUCUGGCCUAUUACUGACACUGAGUGUGCGAAAGUUAGGGGAGCAAACGGGAUUAGAUACCCCGGUAGUCCUAACUGUAAACGAU